rnacentral:rRNA from 1 species
AGAGUUUGAUCAUGGCUCAGGACGAACGCUGGCGGCGUGCUUAACACAUGCAAGUCGAGCGAUGAAGCUCCUUCGGGAGUGGAUUAGCGGCGGACGGGUGAGUAACACGUGGGUAACCUGCCUCGUAGAGGGGAAUAGCCUUCCGAAAGGAAGAUUAAUACCGCAUAAGAUUGUAGUUUCGCAUGAAACAGCAAUUAAAGGAGUAAUCCGCUAUGAGAUGGACCCGCGUCGCAUUAGCUAGUUGGUGAGGUAACGGCUCACCAAGGCGACGAUGCGUAGCCGACCUGAGAGGGUGAUCGGCCACAUUGGGACUGAGACACGGCCCAGACUCCUACGGGAGGCAGCAGUGGGGAAUAUUGCGCAAUGGGGGAAACCCUGAUGCAGCAACGCCGCGUGAGUGAUGACGGUCUUCGGAUUGUAAAACUCUGUCUUCAGGGACGAUAAUGACGGUACCUGAGGAGGAAGCCACGGCUAACUACGUGCCAGCAGCCGCGGUAAUACGUAGGUGGCAAGCGUUGUCCGGAUUUACUGGGCGUAAAGGG